rnacentral:rRNA from 1 species
GAUGAACGCUAGCGAUAGGCCUAACACAUGCAAGUCGAGGGGCAUCACAUGAAGUAGCAAUACGGAUGGUGGCGACCGGCGCACGGGUGAGUAACACGUAUGCAACCUGCCUUCAACAAGGGGAUAACCCGUUGAAAGACGGACUAAUACCCUAUAACACAGGGGUCCCGCAUGGGAAUAUUUGUUAAAAGGACAACCGGUUGAAGAUGGGCAUGCGUUCCAUUAGCUAGUUGGCGGGGUAAGGGCCCACCAAGGCAACGAUGGAUAGGGGAACUGAGAGGUUUAUCCCCCACACUGGUACUGAGACACGGACCAGACUCCUACGGGAGGCAGCAGUGAGGAAUAUUGGUCAAUGGACGCAAGUCUGAACCAGCCACGUCGCGUGAAGGAAGACGGCCCUACGGGUGUAAACUUCUUUGCAAGGGAAUAAAGUGGGCCACGUGUGGCCUUUUGCAAGUACCUUGCGAAUAAGGAUCGGCUAACUCCGUGCCAG